rnacentral:tRNA from 1 species
GCUGCUGUAGCUCAGCAGGUAGAGCACUUCCUUGGUAAGGAAGAGGUCUCGAGUUCGAAUCUCGACAGCAGCUCCA